rnacentral:misc_RNA from 1 species
GAUGAAGAACGUAGUGAAAUGCGAUAAGUAAUGUGAAUUGCAGAAUUCAGUGAAUCAUCGAAUCUUUGAACGCGCAUUGCGCCCGCCAGUAUUCUGGCGGGCAUGCCUGUCUGAGCGUCAUUUCAACCCUCAUGCCCCUAGGGCGUGGUGUUGGGGAUCGGCCAAAGCCCGCGAGGGACGGCCGGCCCCUAAAUCUAGUGGCGGACCCGUCGUGGCCUCCUCUGCGAAGUAGUGAUAUUCCGCAUCGGAGAGCGACGAGCCCCUGCCGUUAAACCCCCAACUUUCCAAGGUUGACCUCAGAUCAGGUAGGAAUACCCGCUGAACUUAAGCAUAUCAAUAAGCGGAGGA